CCUACGGGAGGCAGCAGUGGGGAAUAUUGCACAAUGGGCGCAAGCCUGAUGCAGCCAUGCCGCGUGUAUGGAAGAAGGCCUUCGGGUUGUAAAGUACUUUCAGCAGUGAGGAAGGUGGGUAUGUUAAUAGCAUACUCAUUUCGACGUUAGCUGCAGAAGAAGCACCGGCUAACUCCGUGCCAGCAGCCGCGGUAAUACGGAGGGUGCGAGCGUUAAUCGGAAUUACUGGGCGUAAAGCGCAUGCAGGUGGUUUGUUAAGUCAGAUGUGAAAGCCCGGGGCUCAACCUCGGAAUUGCAUUUGAAACUGGCAAACUAGAGUACUGUAGAGGGGGGUAGAAUUUCAGGUGUAGCGGUGAAAUGCGUAGAGAUCUGAAGGAAUACCGGUGGCGAAGGCGGCCCCCCUGGACAGAUACUGACACUCAGAUCGCGAAAGCGUGGGGAGCAAACAGGAUUAGAUACCCCUCGGUAG
rnacentral:rRNA from 1 species